GGCAACUUGGCCGAGCGGUUAUGGCGCCAGCUUCAGGUUCUUCGGAAUGUGCUGGUAUCGAAAGAUUCGCGAGUUCGAGUCUCGCAGUUGUCA